GAAAACAGAAACAUUUAUCUAGAAGUGAUCAUUGAGUAUAGCACAUGUCAGAAGUAAACACAUGUAUAGAGUAGAGGAAAAGUCAGUAUACAUGGUAGAAAGCAUGUUUGAAGCAGAGGAGGGCUACGUUUGAGUAAAUGAAACAGUAGUUAAUUAUGAACAGGCAGCUUCAGUUUAUACUGGUGGUGUUUGAGCAAAUGCAAGGUUCAGCCAGGAGGAUGAGAUAUUCAAGUUCCUGAAAAAUGCAGGGUUUUAAGGAAUGGACAACACAACAAUGGGCCCAGUCUACAGGUUGUACCUACAGGAAUAAUAAUUAUGACAAGAAAGAUGGUUCUCUAUCUGUUGUUCAACAAGCAACAUCAACAGGUCACGUUCUGAGAAAAUGAUCCAAAACUCGUUGGCUGAUUUAAUGUCUUUAAAUAUGCAGCAUUGGGAUUGAAUAGAGACAGACUUACAGUAUAAAGUGUUUGCUUUGAAAAAUAGACAGUCAGGCAGAAUCAGCGGCAGAUUGUUGGUUUGAAGAUUGAACAUUUCUGGAGAACAUGUGAAUAUUUCAGACUCAACAUUAAUUUGUACAUCAGUAAGCUUAAAUUUUUUAUUUAUAACAUGAGAUUGUGUGAAAGUCAUAUAAUAUACUGAUCAAAACAGCCUACUGCUACUUCUUUUAUAACUGAACUAUUUUCACUUAAAGUAUACUGUAUUUGCAUAAUUUCCCAAAUACUAGAUGAUUUCUGUUUCAUAUAAUUAUGGCUUUAUGCAGAAAGAACAUAGUAUAGGAUAAGAAAGACAGAAUAUUUAAUUUGCAAAGUCUGUAAUGACAGUAACUGGUAGGUGAAUUAGCUGUUUGAUUAGUAUAUUGGGUGUGUGCAGUUUCUCUAAUUCUUAUUGUUAGUUUUUGAUGAUAUAGUGCUUUAUCCAGUACAUGGAUGUGAGUUUUUUUGACAAAACAGCAUUGAAAUGUUCAGAGUGAAAAAAAUGACAGAAAAAAAAUUGUUAUUUUUAAAAGCUAAGUUAGCAAGGUUUGACACAUUUUCUGAGUAUAAGGUAGAUGUAUUUUAUAGGCAUUUAUAUUGACUUAAAAAUAAGAGUAAGGAUUCCAUGACAUAAGUAAAAUAAAUGACUGCUUGAACCUCAGCUCCUAAGAAGUGGUUGGAUCUAAAAACUUGUCCAAGGUACCGAAAACAAAAACAAACAUCCACCCAUUCUAGAUUCAGCUCAGAUUUGCAAAAAAGUAAACACCAUUGCCUGCUACAGGUAUUUUCAUUUAUACAGUCUUCCAUGCAGUGAUCUCCCUUACCUAUAGGUAGAGAUUUCUGAAGUUGAUGGGAAGCAACUCCUGCAUGCAGUUUGACUUUAAUUUCCUAAAAAGACUGCCCCAGUCAAAAUAAGAAAAGUCGUAUUUGGAAACUUAUUAUUUCGUACUGGUAACUGAAAGAGUUUGGUAUAUUUGGUUAAAAGCUAUAAUUUCCUCCACCCUUUUUACACAUACAUCUAUUUCAACUGGAUUUUUCCCUGAAAAAUGCGAAUAAUUCCACUUUAAACUGUUACGUAUGUAGGAUGAACCAGAUUCAUUUCCUUAGUAAGAUUCCUGUAAAGUUAAAGACUCCAGGUAAACUACAUUUCGAGAGUACAAGUCUUACGCAGCUAAACCAGCAGUGCAUAAUGUUAUAAAAUAAAGUUUGAUUACUCUAGGUUGAAUACUUUCUGAGAUACAUGCCACAUAACUUUUAGGUCCUUUAUACAUAAUUUUGACUAAACCAAGGGAGGGAAAAUAAUGAAUAAGAUCAGAAUUUAAGAUUUUUAUAUGAUCUUCUGUCUCAUUUUAAAACCAUUCUUAUCGAUUAUUUAAUGGAUGUUUUCAUUGAACAGUAAGAUAGAAUCUACAUCUAUUGAUUAUUCACUAAUAUUCGUAAAUAGGAAAUGUAUGGGAAUGUACAAUAUUUAACUGAGAAGCUUGCUUUAAAUAUAUUGCCCCUUGUCUUAGUAGAACCACAGUUGUACAACUUUACAUGCUGAAUAAUAUUAUUAUAAUGUUUGAUGACCUUUUGAAAUGCAAAUGGCAGAAAUUUUGUUGGAUGGACAAAGAAAAAUGUGCCCAGGUGGUAGGAGAGAGACAGAAAAAUAACAUUCUGUAAAGAUAAUGCUAACUGUUCCAAUAAUACUAACUGUUCCGAUAUUGCUAACUGGAUAAUGAUAUCUGCGAGGAUAAUAAUGAAUAAAUGUUCAGAUAAUGCUAACUGUUUCAAUAAUGCUAACUGUUCCGAUAUUGCUAACAGGAUAAUGAUAUCUGUGAGGAAAAUGAUGAAUAAAUGUUUGGAUAAUGCCAACUGUUGUGAUAAUGAUAACUAACUGGGUAAAGAUAACUGUUUGGAUUUUAUUAUUUGAAUAAUGUUAAAAAAAUUGGACCAUGAUAAAUAACAUGUUUGGAUGUGAACUGGUUACAGAUAAUGCUAACUGUUCGGACAGUAAUAACUGUAAAGAUAACGAUAAUAGAAACUGUUAGCUAUUUUGCAAACAUGUCAGUCAGGAUUUUGAGUUAUUAAUUCCUGGGCUUUAUUUAUCUCUUAUGUGAAUGCUCAGCAUCUGAGCUACAAAGUAUAAUAUAUUGGCGCUGUAUUGGAGUCAUGCGUGUCUGACCAAUUGUAUAUCAGUUAUGUCCACUCAGUGUCUUCUUCCCUAAAUUUUCGUAAAACUUGCAUCAGUUUUUGUUAUCCUCAUCAAGACAAUGUGCAGAGCCUUAAUCCAAGUCACUAGGUUAAAGGUCAAGGUCAGUCUUUGGCGGUCAAAAUUUUAAUGUUAUGGUCGCAAAAAUUUUCUUUCCAUGUAUCAGAACGGCAUCAAGGGGUAUUAAUCGCCUUUAGUGAUAGCUCUAGAUUUCAAAGGUUAGUUUAAUCCCCAAGAAUUUUGCAGACUAUUUACCAAUUUGAAUGUUCUUUAUUGGAAACUUGACUCAUCUGGUCCAGGUAGACAUCAGAGGUAUAGGAUUCAAAUUAUGGCUAUGAUUUCUAAAAUUCAAAUCUCUUCUUUAGCCACAUGAUGUUAUUUAAUGCGGAAUCAACUGGAUAUAAAACAGUACACUUUCCUAAGUUCCCAACACUGUGAAUAGUACUUGGGUAUAUUUGAAACAUUAUUUUAGGACAUUUUAUUCUAGAUAUUUGUGCUAAGACAUUUGUAUUGAAAUAUUUUGGUAAAGUAAUAGAAGUUUGUGUUCUAUUCUGAAAAGUGUUUGCCACAGUUUUCUUUCAUGAAAUAAUAAUUUAAGAGUUACAAAAGGGACUUUCAUGUUAAAACAUUUGAUGUCAGUGGUGGUUAAUAUAUAAAUUCCUUUGAUAACCUUGUGGUGUUAUUUUUAUGCUCCCCGAAGGGUGAGCAUAUAGUUGCGGCAAAAUUGUCCGUCCGCCCAUCACACUUUUGUCUGGAGUAUAGCUUGAAAAGUAUUAAAGGCAUUUGAUUGAAACUUCACAUAAUCAUAGAGGCCAUUGAGACAAAGUGCAGUGUCAAAGAAUCAUAACUCUACCUUACCUAGUUUUUGAAUUAUCUCCCUUUAUUAUGCAAAAUAAGGCUUGUCCGUAGUAUUACUUGAAAUGUAUUAAUGGCAUUUCAUUUAAACUUCAAAAAAUGACAGAAGCCAUUGACGGGAAGUACAUUGUCAAAGAACCAUAACUCUACUUUACCUAGUUUUUGAAUUAUCUCCCUUUAUUAUACAAAACAAGGCUUGUCCGGAGUAUAACUUGAAAAGUACUAAUGGCAUUUGAUUGAAACUUCACAUAAUCAUAGAAGCCAUUGAGACAAAGUGCGUGUUAAAGAAUCGUAACUGAGCUACCUUACCUAGUUUUUUAAUUAUCUCGUUUUAUUAUACAAAAUAAGGCUUGUCAGGAGCAUUACUUGAAAAGUAUUAAUGGCAUUUCAUUGAAACUUCACAAAAUGAUAGAGGCAAUUGACGGGAAGUGCAGUGUCAAAGAACCAUAACUCUACUUUACCUAGUUUUUUUAAUUAUCUCCCCUUAUUAUACAAAAUAAGGCUUGUCUGGAGUAUAACUUGAUAUUGAUGGCAUUUGAUUGAAAUGUCACAUAAUCAUAGAGGCCAUUGAGACAAAGUCAGUUUCAAAGAAUCAUAACUACUUUACCUAGUUUUUGUAUUAUCUCCCUUUAUUAUACAAAAUAACGCUUGUCUGGAGCAGUACUUGAAAUGUAUUAAUGGCAUUUCAUUGAAACUUCACAAAAUGAUAGAGGCCAUUGAAGGGAAGUGCGGUGUUAAAGAAAGAACCAUAACUCUACCUUAACUAGUUUUUGAAUUAUCUCCCUUUAUUCAAUAUUCUUCUUUUUAUUAUCAAUAUUUUUUGUUUGUUUCUAAUACAUUAUUCCGCAUAUUGGGACAAGCACAUGCAUCGAGGAGCAUCAUUCAGUUUUACAGAUUCCUUGUUAUAAACUGCAAGGGUGAUUUCGAGGAUAAGUACAAUUCUUUAAUAAGUUUACAUUACUGACCACUCCACAAUUAUUUAAUACAAACAUUUUCAUGUAAAUCAAGAGUAGAAACUGCUGUCUAUUGAUAUAACAUAUUUCUGUAAACCAUAAUUAGUGGGUGCAUUAUAUGACAGAAUUAUUUUAAAUUUAAUUCUUAUGUUAGAUCAGUGAUAAAAUUUAUGUGCUCUCCCAAAAAUUUUUAUAUCAUACCUGUUUUUUGGUUGGCUACUUUACUUAUAGGCAGCCAUUCUACUUGGUGUCAUACACAGAAACUUCAUAGAAAGACUUCUUUUUUAACUGAACAGCAUCUGAAGUGUGUGAAUCGGCCUUUACCCUGCUAAAUUUCUAAAAUGGACCGGUCCUUCAUUCAGUUUGAGCAGUACAAUAUAUUAUUUGAAGAGGUGUUCACUGAACAUUUACUGACUGAAUAAAGAACAGUGCAGACUAUGAUCUGUGCAGGCUGAUCUUGGUCUGUACUGGCCGCAAAGGCAGAAUAACUUGCCGCCAGCAGACUAAAAGUUAAGCUAAGUGUAGAAUAUAUAUGUAACUAGGCAUGUGAUGCAUAAUAAAUACAAAAUUAUAUGUAUUAAUACAUUCACAAUUAUGCAAAAUUUACUAUUUUAGUUGUAGAAACAGUACCAUUUUGACUAUGCAAAAGUUCUUUGCACUAAAACAAAGAACACUGAAA